rnacentral:rRNA from 1 species
AUUCGGGACAGCAUGUGUAGGAUAGGUGGGAGACUUUGAAGCUGGCACGCCAGUGUCGGUGGAGUCGUCCUUGAAAUACCACCCUUGUUCUUCUGGAUGUCUAACCUAGGCCCGUGAUCCGGGUCGGGGACAUUGCCUGGUGGGUAGUUUGACUGGGGCGGUCGCCUCCCAAANNNNNNNAGAGUGCAAAGGCAUAAGGGAGCUUGACUGCAAGACAUACACGUCGAGCAGGUGCGAAAGCAGGUCUUAGUGAUCCGGCGGUUCUGUAUGGAAGGGCCGUCGCUCAACGGAUAAAAGGUACUCCGGGGAUAACAGGCUUAUCUNNGGCUUAUCUCCCCCAAGAGUUCACAUCGACGGGGAGGUUUGGCACCUCGAUGUCGGCUCAUCACAUCCUGGGGCUGUAGCCGGUCCCAAGGGUUUGGCUGUUCGCCAAUUAAAGUGGUACGCGAGCUGGGUUUAAAACGUCGUGAGACAGUUUGGUCCCUAUCUGCCGUGGGCGCAGGAGAUUUGAGAGGAUCUGUCCUUAGUACGAGAGGACCGGGAUGGACGAACCUCUGGUGUUCCAGUUGUCACGCCAGUGGCAAUGGCUGGGUAGCUAUGUUCGGAAAGGAUAACCGCUGAAAGCAUCUAAGCGGGAAGCCCUCCUCAAGACGAGAUCUCCCUGGACUUCGGUCCCUGAAGGUCCGUUGGAGACUACAACGUUGAUAGGCCGGGUGUGUACGCACAGCAAUGUGUUCAGCUAACCGGUACUAAUCGACCGUGAGGCUUGACCAUAAAA